CCUUGACAGUUGCAUUCCGCAGCUGACAUUUGCCUAGACAAGGAGACACAAUG
rnacentral:ncRNA from 1 species